UACGUAGGGUGCAAGCGUUGUUCGGAAUUACUGGGCGUAAAGGGCGCGUAGGCGGCCUUCUAAGUCGAACGUGAAAUCCCCGGGCUCAACCCGGGAACUGCGUCCGAGACUGGCAGGCUUGAAUCCGGGAGAGGGAUGUGGAAUUCCAGGUGUAGCGGUGAAAUGCGUAGAUAUCUGGAGGAACACCCGUGGCGAAGGCGGCUUCUAGGAUAUACCUGACACUGAGAAGCGGACAGCUAGGGGAGCAAACAGG
rnacentral:rRNA from 1 species